AGUGCGCCUCAAUAAUCAUCUCCGACCUUAUCAUAAUGUUAUUACCGAUUCGUCGAUUCGCAGUGCUUACGAAUUUGACUCCUCGUCUGUGCUUGGCAAACCAGCCAUGAAAUUUUGCUAUGGUUCAAGUUCCGUGUAAUUUGAUUCUUUUUAUCCAAACUUUUCGACAAGGGACGCUUAUACGACUCUUUGAAUCAAAUCAGUCGCUGUAUCGUGAGCAACCUUCAACAACAUUGUCAGUUCGUGCGAUUCAUCAGGCGAAAUUUUGAUCAUCUGCAUUGUUUUUAUUUUGAAAAAUGCAUCAUUGCAUGAUACGCUCAGAAUGCAAUCCCAGUAUUUAUACUCGAAAUCAGUGUAGGAUUUGCUGAAUCUUUGGUUGUUAAAAUUAGAAGAGUGCUGAGCUCCUAUCCGAUAGUUUUGGAUGACAAAGCACCGCAAUUUAAUGAGCAUGAAAUUUAAAUCACGAAAAUUGAUAGCAACUUCCGGGAAAAACGGUACUUCAAUUACACUGUCCUAUGAUCGUUGCUUUUGCUUUAUUACGUUCACUAAAAACAGGUUUUUUACGCAGCACAAGUUCCAAAUAAAAGUCCACUAUGAUGUAGAACGCAACCCAUAGCUUCACUAUUUCUAUUUGAAUGCUUAAAAAAGAACAAAUGAAGCAGGUUUCAUACUAAACGCAGCCUGAAGGUUGAGACGCUCGGUGCAGACGGAGACAAGAGGACACAAUGGAGGGGUUGAGGGCGUGCUGGGUUGAAACAACGGUAGAUGCGCAUUGUAACAGGCGCACGACCAGAUCCGAUGGAUGCAUCAUCGCCUACGUAGGCCUCAGUCGCUAAAUGAAACACAUUAGACCAGUCAAUAAAAUUUUUAACUCACGCAUUCACCGUCCGAUGCUGAUGGAUACCUGAUUUAUCACUGAUUGCCAGGAUACAUUGAGUUGGGACAUCUGAUACGUAGGUAGAGCGGUUCAUUUUUGUUUAAACUCUAGGAGUAUUUUAAAAUUAUACAACUUUUAGGUGCAAAAA